rnacentral:rRNA from 1 species
UACGGGGGGGGCAAGCGUUGUUCGGAAUUACUGGGCGUAAAGGGCUCGUAGGCGGCCAACUAAGUCAGACGUGAAAUCCCUCGGCUUAACCUGGGAACUGCAUUCGAGACUGCAUUGCUAGAGUAUGGGAGAGGGAAGUGGAAUUUCCGGUGUAGCGGUGAAAUGCGUAGAUAUCGGAAGGAACAUCAGUGGCGAAAGCGACUUCCUGGACCAAUACUGACGCUCAUGUGCGAAAGCGUGGGGAGCAAACAGGG